AGGCAGUGUACUGUUAGCUGGCUGUG
rnacentral:miRNA from 1 species